rnacentral:rRNA from 1 species
ACGAACGUUGGCGGCGUGGAUUAGGCAUGCAAGUCGAACGAGAACCCUUGGGCAACUGAGGGGGAAAGUGGCGAAAGGGGCAGUAAUGCGUGGGUAACCUACCCUGGGGACUGGGAUAGCCAUUCUAACGGAUGGGUAAUACCGGGCUAUGUAGCGAGGGCACAUGCUUUUGCUAUGAAAUGAACUUCGCCUCGGGAGGGGCUCACGUCGUAUUAGCUUGUUGGCGGGGUAACGGCCCACCAAGGCAAAGAUGCGUAGCAGGUGUGAGAGCACGACCUGCGCCACUGGCACUGAGACACUGGCCAGACUCCUACGGGAGGCUGCAGUCGAGGAUCUUCGGCAAUGGGCGCAAGCCUGACCGAGCGACGCCGCGUGCGCGACGAAGGCCUUCGGGUUGUAAAGCGCUGUCGAGGGGGAGGAGGCCGCAAGGUUGACCUAUCCCUGGAGGAAGCACGGGCUAAGUUCGU